UCCCUGGUGGCUCAGAUGGCAAAGCAUCUGCCUGCAAUGCAGGAGACCCAGGUUCUAUUCCUGGGUUGAGAA
rnacentral:tRNA from 1 species